UGCCAGUUAAAAGUUUGAAGGUCGAGUAAAAUUAUACUUCAUUAUACAGUGACACCAUUUUUCAGAUGUGUAGUCGAUGAAUGACGGGGAUAUUCAGAGCUAAUUGGAGCGCAUGAGAAUGGGAUGACGGCCAAAGCACCAAUCAGCACUUUCGGAUGAGCGGAAUAUUCAAUACUUGGCGCGUACUCGAAUCAUCAUUAUCCGGGGAAUACUCGUACAGGGUUAGAGCCAGCUGACAGCGAUUACACCGACAGGCAGCGAGGACGCAGGACAUGGAACUGGGGACUGGUACUGUGGACUGGCACUGUGGACUGGGGACAUUGCCGUUAAUGCCCUGGCAUCGUAGUCGUAUUGGGAAUGGUCUAACAUUUCUUUAAUGUGCUCUCAAUGCCCCUCCUCCUCUCCAUCGCUUUCCCCUUUCACUUACUGUCGCUAGUUAUGGCUCACACACACACACACACUGACACACACAUGGGGAAACUCUUUGGCCAUUUGCAGUAAAUUGAAAAAGUAUUAAAUCAAUAAAUAAAAGUUACACACAGAAAGCAUACUAUAUCGAAA